rnacentral:rRNA from 2 species
CUGAGACCUGAUGCCGAGCCGAUUGUGGUGAAGUGGAUGAUCCUAUGCUGUCGAGAAAAGCCUCUAGCGAGUUUCAUGGCGGCCCGUACCCUAAACCGACUCAGGUGGUCAGGUAGAGAAUACCGAGGCGUUCGGGUGAACUAUGGUUAAGGAACUCGGCAAAAUGCCCCCGUAACUUCGGGAGAAGGGGGGCCAUCACUGGUGAUGACAUUUACUGUCUGAGCUGGGGGUGGCCGCAGAGACCAGCGAGAAGCGACUGUUUACUAAAAACACAGGUCCGUGCGAAGCCGUAAGGCGAUGUAUACGGACUGACGCCUGCCCGGUGCUGGAACGUUAAGGGGACCGGUUAGUGCACUUUCGGGUGUGCGAAGCUGAGAACUUAAGCGCCAGUAAACGGCGGUGGUAACUAUAACCAUCCUAAGGUAGCGAAAUUCCUUGUCGGGUAAGUUCCGACCUGCACGAAUGGCGUAACGACUUCUCGACUGUCUCAACCAUAGGCCCGGUGAAAUUGCACUACGAGUAAAGAUGCUCGUUUCGCGCAGCAGGACGGAAAGACCCCGGGACCUUUACUACAGUUUGAUAUUGGUGUUCGGUUCGGCUUGUGUAGGAUAGGUGGGAGACUUUGAACCAGCCACGCCAGUGGUUGGGGAGUCGUCGUUGAAAUACCACUCUGGUCGUGCUGGAUGUCUAACCUGGGUCCGUGAUCCGGAUCAGGGACAGUGUCUGAUGGGUAGUUUAACUGGGGCGGUUGCCUCCUAAAGAGUAACGGAGGCGCCCAAAGGUUCCCUCAGCCUGGUUGGUAAUCAGGUGUUGAGUGUAAGUGCACAAGGGAGCUUGACUGUGAGACCGACGGGUCGAGCAGGGACGAAAGUCGGGACUAGUGAUCCGGCGGUGGCUUGUGGAAGCGCCGUCGCUCAACGGAUAAAAGGUACCCCGGGGAUAACAGGCUGAUCUUCCCCAAGAGUCCAUAUCGACGGGAUGGUUUGGCACCUCGAUGUCGGCUCGUCGCAUCCUGGGGCUGGAGUCGGUCCCAAGGG